rnacentral:rRNA from 1 species
GUUUACGCUCUACAACCCUUUGUGAACAUACCUAUAACUGUUGCUUCGGCGGGUAGGGUCUCCGCGACCCUCCCGGCCUCCCGCCUCCGGGCGGGUCGGCGCCCGCCGGAGGAUAACCAAACUCUGAUUUAACGACGUUUCUUCUGAGUGGUACAAGCAAAUAAUCAAAACUUUUAACAACGGAUCUCUUGGUUCUGGCAUCGAUGAAGAACGCAGCGAAAUGCGAUAAGUAAUGUGAAUUGCAGAAUUCAGUGAAUCAUCGAAUCUUUGAACGCACAUUGCGCCCGCCAGCAUUCUGGCGGGCAUGCCUGUUCGAGCGUCAUUUCAACCCUCAAGCUCUGCUUGGUGUUGGGGCCCUACAGCUGAUGUAGGCCCUCAAAGGUAGUGGCGGACCCUCUCGGAGCCUCCUUUGCGUAGUAACUUUACGUCUCGCACUGGGAUCCGGAGGGACUCUUGCCGUAAAACCCCCAAUUUUCCAAAG